ACAAGUGGCUAGAGUGGUCAACAAUCCUGAUUAUUUACUCCUUACUUAUUCAAGAAGUUAAGCAUUUUUCUUACGUUUUGGCUUAAAGACUUACAACUCUGACGAGGAAGUGGGUCCGAUCUACGAAGAACGAACUUCCAACAACGGGGGACCAAUCCUCAGCUUGGACUUGAUUAGUGAGAAAGUGGGAGUGCCUCCAAGGAUCCAAACACUCCACCCACUCCUCCACCCAUUCCCGGAUCAAGUGUCGCGGCCAAUCUACCGGUUUCCGUCAAAAGUGCUCACAGCCAUAACUCCAAAGGUGACCAAAAGAAACCGGACAAAAAAUCAAACUCCAUGGCUGCAGGAUCUAGCGCUCGCAGUGCAUCCACUUCCGCCAUAGCCAUGAGCUGCAACCCUUUUAGUGGAAGCCUUUGGGAGCGUCGUGAGCCUUAUUCUCACUUGUGGGUAACUCUGAGCUCUAUGUAUGGGAAAUUCCUGGUCCUCUUGAUGUUGGCCUUUUGUCUUAUUGAAGUCAUGGACAAUAACAUCCGACCCCUGGCCUUUCAGG